rnacentral:rRNA from 1 species
AAAUUGAAGGGUUUGAUCAUGGCUCAGAUUGAACGCUGGCGGCAGGCCUAACACAUGCAAGUCGAACGGUAACAGGAAGAAGCUUGCUUCUUUGCUGACGAGUGGCGGACGGGUGAGUAAUGUCUGGGAAACUGCCUGAUGGAGGGGGAUAACUACUGGAAACGGUAGCUAAUACCGCAUAACGUCGCAAGACCAAAGAGGGGGACCUUCGGGCCUCUUGCCAUCGGAUGUGCCCAGAUGGGAUUAGCUUGUUGGUGGGGUAACGGCUCACCAAGGCGACGAUCCCUAGCUGGUCUGAGAGGAUGACCAGCCACACUGGAACUGAGACACGGUCCAGACUCCUACGGGAGGCAGCAGUGGGGAAUAUUGCACAAUGGGCGCAAGCCUGAUGCAGCCAUGCCGCGUGUAUGAAGAAGGCCUUCGGGUUGUAAAGUACUUUCAGCGGGGAGGAAGGGAGUAAAGUUAAUACCUUU